rnacentral:rRNA from 1 species
UCUUGGUCAUUUAGAGGAAGUAAAAGUCGUAACAAGGUCUCCGUUGGUGAACCAGCGGAGGGAUCAUUAAAGAGUUCUAUAACUCCCAAACCCAUGUGAACAUACCUCAUGUUGCCUCGGCAGGUCGCGUUUACCUAGUAGCCCCCUACCCUGUAGGGACUACCCGGUAGACGCGGGUAAGCCUGCCGGCGGCCCACGAAACUCUGUUUAGUAUUGAAUUCUGAACCUAUAACUAAAUAAGUUAAAACUUUCAACAACGGAUCUCUUGGUUCUGGCAUCGAUGAAGAACGCAGCGAAAUGCGAUAAGUAAUGUGAAUUGCAGAAUUCAGUGAAUCAUCGAAUCUUUGAACGCACAUUGCGCCCAUUAGUAUUCUAGUGGGCAUGCCUGUUCGAGCGUCAUUUCAACCCUUAAGCCUCUGUUGCUUAGUGUUGGGAGCCUACAGCACUGUAGCUCCUCAAAGUUAGUGGCGGAGUCGGUUCACACUCUAGACGUAGUAGAUUUUAUCUCGCCUAUUAGUUGGACCGGUCCCUUGCCGUAAAACCCCUAAUCUUUAAAGGUUGACCUCGGAUCACGUAGGAAUACCCGCUGA